CGCGGGAGCCGCCGCUCACAAGUGCGGCGAGAGCGACAGGGCUCAGCCGCAGCCCCCGCUCCCCCCGCCCGCCGCCGGGAAGAGGCCUCGGACGCGGACCGGGAGUUUCGGCGGGCGCCUCACGCUGCGGACGUGGUUCCCGCAGCACUCGGGGUGGGGGUUCGCGAGGGCGGCGGAGGCUGAGCCCGGCUGAGGAGCGCGUGGGGGGCGGCCGCCCGCGGCCCGGCGCACAGCGGCCGGCGGCACCCUGGUAGCUCGCAUUUUUGCCGUGAAAAUCGAAAAAAUGUUGUGAUAGUAAUCCCUGAAAAACUCCAGAAGCAGAAGGCACACAGGAAGGACAUGCUAAAUCUGUCAGCUGCAAUUCUUCUUUUUACUGAAAAUUCAGUGCCAGGAGUUUUGAAGGUUUAAUCCGUGAGGUUAACACCUGGGACCGGUAGCAGCUUUCUCCGGCCAGCGGCGGCUUGUCUGCCCCGCUGCGGACGGGGAGCAGCGCUCGGCGCAAGGCUCAGGGCGAGCAACGAGAGGCUUGCAGCCGGCGCGGGGCUCUGCGCCGCCGGGCGCCCGCAGCGGUUUCGGCUCCCGCUCCGCCAAAGGAAGGCCCAGCUAGGGCGAGGCGAAGGGUUCACAGGCAAAGCGCGCUCACGGAAGUCACGAGCAACGAGGGACAGAAACAAGCUUACUCAGUCGGGAUGCGAGUGCUGUCAUUGGCGUGUCUAGGAAAGGACCGACAAGAUCCGAAACGCUGGUGAGGAAUCCACAGCUCUCGGCAGGGACAGGCUUCCUCGGGAACACAACCUCUUUCAUGAAAUAAUUCUCUCUGUGCCUGCUGCAAGCGGCACCCGACAGAGCCGCGUUACUCGAGCGGGACCCUGUGCACCGUGUAAAAUAGACAGUUCGGUGCCGACUCCUUCGGGAGUGCGCGUGGAAAGCUGUCUGUAAUUUCCAUACACACAGCAGGGCAGCUGUAAUAAUUCCGAAGCAUGCUGCGGACGUGCUGGCUGUGUCGGCGUUGUCUCCGGCUCUAAUUGCGCGGUGAGGCGCGCGACGAGGCGGCCCUUCAGAGGGACGCUGGCUGCUGGGCCCUUCUGCCAAGCGGGCGAUAACGCGGCAAGGAGGUGCCCGGCUGGAGUCCUGCUGGGAGCCUGAGCUCAAAAGCCUGCCUGAAAGAGGAUGAAGGUGAUGACGAGUCUUCAGAAAACGGGGGGAGAAAAAUCUGUCAAAAAGGUGGUUGUGGUGCAAGCUCCAGGCGAGGAGCCCGUAGCAGCAGAGGCACGGGAGGGCAAACAGUGUCGCUGCGAGGGCUGCCCAAGCCAGGAGCAGCUGGCUGCGGCUUCUCCUUGGGAUAGCGACGGGCCAUGGCGGGGCACCAUCGCGGCCGGGCGCAGGGGCAGGAGCAGCAGAGGGAAGGAAAACGCAGCUGGCUGAGGCAUCGCCAGCCGAUCUUUGUGAACGCCUCGCGGAUGGAGUUGCACCAACAACUCGUCUGGUGCAAUCGCUUGUGCAAAACAGCAUAUGGAGAGUGUUACAAGAUGGAUCAAGCCAUCGGCGACAGAAAAAACAGCCUUGUGAAAUUCUGAUCACCACCCUGAAAGUGUCAUAUACACUCGCUUUCCACUGAAAUUAGCAGAAAUGGUAUGAAUGGGGCGUUUGGCUUCUUGUGCGAUCACUGAGAUGAGUAGCUGAUGUGUAGCCUCUGGAUACAUCUGCUCAAAAAUGAACUGAUAGUGUUACCAAAAUCAUGCAGAAGAUGACCUAGACUGAACUUCUACUUUCCCCCAAAGCCUUUUGCUGUUGGUAGUAUCUUCUUGUUUCUCUCAGAAAACUUCUCUAGCUUCUGUUCUGGGUAUGUUAGGACUUGCUGUUGCUAUAAAAACUUUAAUUUUGAAAUUAAAUCUAUGUAUUUUCUGAUAUAUUUCCCUGUGUGUGUAUACACACACACACACACACACAUAUAUAUAUAUAUAUUUAAAAAAUUUAGCAUUCAUCAAUGAACUUGCAAUUCCCUUGAAAAACACUGAAGGAAAAUGCUGUGUUUCCCGUCUAGAAGGAACACUACAGCCAAAGAAAAGACCUUCUAUGUAAGAGAAGAACCUCGCUUUCCUUCUGCUUGUGAAUAAAUCACUAAUUUCUGAUAGUUUACUUUUCUACUGUAUAACUGCAUGAUUGGUCAAGUGCUGAUGCAAUGAAGGUUAAUUGUUGCAAACUUACUAAGUAACCACCUAGAUUAACAUUGAUACAGAAAGGUUUUUAUGUAAAACAGAUUUUUAUGUAAAAAAUAUGUAAAGCAGCAUCUUUGCAUAUCUUUACCUUGAUACUUCAAUAAUUCUAUUACCACCAAUCAUCAUGUUUAACGAGACCACAACACUCUCUUCAUGAGCUGAUAUCCAGUUAUGCAUCCCAGCUCAGUUACCCAAGAAGCACGUGCAGUUUGUGAAACAUCGUUUUAGGAGUUACCACUUCCCAAGUGAAUUAUAGAAACCCAGAAAGAGGUUUAUUUUCCACUGGAAAAAGAAGCCCUGACUGUUUUACAGCCCGCUCCAGGACAGCAGUAGACUAAGAGGUCCCACCCUCCAAGACCGGAGCAGGCACAAGCGUUGUCAGCGAUUGGGGCGAUGCCGGAGGGGCACAGAACGGGGGACCUGAGUGCUCCUAGCUAAGGGAGUCCCCUGCACGUAACCCCGUACAGUCAAGCAGCAGAGUGUUGAGCCCAGGAGGUCACUUCUGGUUAGGAGCACUCACUUUCCUUGUGCGAGGAGCCCAAUUCUUGCACUGCUGCUUUCACUGUUCCCUUUUGACUUGCUGUUGGCUGUUUCCAGUGAGAAAGUACUAUGCAGAAAAUAAAGAAACGUGAGAGCACGUGAGGAAAAAAAAAAUCAGAUGCCAUUUUACUUGUUCCAAAAAGUGAGUUUAGGAGGUGAGAACAUAAUAACAGCUAUAUAUCUUGUCUUUGAAAGGACCAAAUAGUAGAGAAAUUAAGCAACAGAGGCUUUUGGUAAGAACUAUACGAAAAGGUAAAUCCUUGUACAUUAGCAGACACAGGUGUUAGCAGGCACAGAAGACCACCUGUUGACUUACACCUGUUAUGUUUGUUUAGUCUCUUCUAAAUAUUUAGCACCUGUACCAUGAUUUGUGUUUUUCCUAAGAAACAAAACAAGAAAUAUUAUCGUUUUCCCUCUGUCAUAGAGCCUGAUUUUCCAGUUGUGAAACAGGUUUCCUGUGAAAGUAACUCCACUGACUUAACUGAAGCAUUUCCAUAGGCCAAAUUUUUCAGAUGUAAGUAUCUAAAAUAAGGUUCUUAAUUCCAUAGUUAGGUACCUGCAUAGAGGUGGCCUGGUUUUUGAAAUGCUGUGGAUUGACAUAUCCUGCUGAAGUCAAUGGGAGCUGCAGAUGAUUUUUUCUUGGAAAAUCAGACCAUUUUUAUUUAAAUGCCCCAGUACUGCUAUGGGCUAACAUUGGACAUACCGGGAUGAAGGUUUUUAUUUCCUAUCCCUAUGUAUAAUUGCACUGGAAUAUAUCCAGUAUGCAGAGUUUUCAAAGCAUAGUAUGUUGUGGUAUAUGAAUAUAGCCCAUUUUGUCAGACUUGCUGAUAUGCUGAUCUGUAUUUGGGGGUUCAAAAUAAAAAGAUAACAUGAAUUUGUUUUCCUCUCUCUUGGAUCCUGAUACAUGCCCCAAAUGUAGCUGCAAGGCCCCUCGGGGCUGUUCUGCAUUAGACUGGCGAGACUUAAGAGCCAUCCAGGAGGAACUGCUGCCCGACGGGAGAUGAGCCCGAACCAGGAGGGCCUUCCUGGCUCCAGCCAUGAGCUCACCCCAACACUCCAGCUAUCUCUGUAAAUGCUACUGAGAAGUACUUAAAUUCAGCUGUUAAAGGAAGAUGAAUAGAGCUAAAAUGUACACUCAGAAGUACUGGAGGUUGAAGCUUGUGGCCACAACACAAAGGAAGGCAGACAUAUGGCAGGGGAACAAGGUCUAUCCGAUAACACUGUCACGCUGUGAUUUUGUACAUCCAGUGGCCAGUUCCAGCCAAGCAUCACACAGGGAUGGAGUUCUUAAGAGAACAAAGCUCAGAUGGAUUUCAUGAAAAGCCACAGCUCUAUUAUAUAUUUAUGUGGUUGGAAGUGAAACACACUUUCUUUUUUGUUUGGAAGUGAAGCAAUACCUAAGCAGAAAUGGGUCAAGAAAUGGACAAUAAGAGGAGAAGCUGACUGUAAAAUCUCCUGCAACCAUGAAGACUGCAACACUGCACAUCAAACCUGGCUUAAUCUUCUCAUAUCCCCUAGAACUUUUCUCUCUCUCUCUCUCUUUUUUUUUUUUAAUGUUAAAUGUUUUUCAGGCUGGCACCUACACUUCCUGAUGGCUUGAACUCUUGAGAAGAAUUAGGAAGUAAUUGAAAACUGUCUUAUGAUUUGGUUCAUUAAUUAAGAAUAAAACAU